ACUCUCUCUCGUAUUCCUCUCUCACUUUCUCCCGUGCUCCUCUCUGUGAUUCUAAGGCAAAGUUGUCCCUUGUAAAUUCAAGUCGACGUCGAAGAGAGACCGUGCCUGCAUCCAGGGACCAGAUCUAUGGCCACGCCACGUGUGCAGGGAGAAGUAAGAUGUGAAUUUUGAGCGGAUACUUCAAUUGAUAGAGGAUAACAUUCUGAGAAGAGAGAAUGCAGUUUGGAGAGGGAGGAUGGCGUAUUAUUGCGCGAGUAUGAAGCUUAGAAAGGGAAGAUAAACUAAGAGAGAGAAAGAGACAAAUGUUUAGAAGGUUGAGGUCGAGUAAAAUUUGCGAAGGUUCAAGAAUAGAAAUGCAUGAAUAUUAUUGUAUUUGUACUGGGUUGAAUCCAUUGUAAUAGUUUCUACUUGGUUUGAAUAAGAUAUAGGGCACAUGUAAAUAGCUGGGUAUUUUCUCGAUAGUUUUUGUAUGGAUCAACUGUAAUGUUACUCCCCCUUUGUUUUCUGCAAAGCACUUGGCCAUUGAGGUGGUCAUUAUUUUAUGCAUAACUGAAUUGUGUUAAGCCUGAUUAGGUGUGAAUUUGCAGGCUGUUGUGGUUUUGAUGUACAAAAGGUAUAGUGAACGUUUCAGUUAUGGUUAAGUUGGUUUUUUGUUC